UACGUAGGGUGCAAGCGUUGUCCGGAAUUAUUGGGCGUAAAGAGCUCGUAGGCGGUCUGUCGCGUCGGAUGUGAAAACCCAGGGCUCAACCCUGGGCCUGCAUUCGAUACGGGCAGACUAGAGUUCGGUAGGGGAGACUGGAAUUCCUGGUGUAGCGGUGAAAUGCGCAGAUAUCAGGAGGAACACCGAUGGCGAAGGCAGCUCACUGGGACGGUACUGACGCUGAGGCGCGAAAGCGUGGGGAGCAAACAGG
rnacentral:rRNA from 1 species